AUGGCCCUGAUUUGCUCCUCGGUGAUCCUGGACACGCUAGGUUCAGAGUUUGACGACUACGUCUACCUACCAGCGAUCGGCACGCGAGGCGGCAUCCUCCUCGCCUGGAAGAGCAGGGCCGUGAAUAUCACGGACCCGGAGUUCUCCGUGAACGCGAUCACCGCCAAUGUUUCCACAACCUCUGCUACCCCAUGGUGA
rnacentral:rRNA from 1 species